CUCCUUGNNNNNNAAUAUUUUCCUUAAGGGANUGUUUUGACUUUGAGGAACUUUAAUUAAAUAAUAACAUAUAUACUUAUGAUAAGUCUUUAAACUUACUUAUAUAUAUUUGUAAUACGUCAUCUAAACUUAUAUUAAUAAUAAUUCAAUAGUUAUUAUUGAAUCGAUGACAUAAUUGUUGUUAAUGUGAUGGAUAGUAAUAAUAAUUAAAUAUUGUUAUGGGUGUGAGUAACAUUAGUAAUAAUAACUAAUUAUUACCAUUAUAAACCACAGUAAUAAUAAUUGAUUAAAUAAUUAAAUGGAAUGAAUGAUUAAGCAAUUAGUAAUUCAUUAAUAUUUAUUACAGGUGUUGCAUGGCUGUCUUUAGUUCGUGUUGUGAAAUGUUAGGUUAAUUCCGAAAACGAACGCAAUCCUUAUCUUUAUUUAAAACUAUAUAAAGAGGUAUCUUUCCAUAAGAAGGAAUAAUUAGGGUGAAGACAAGUCCUCAUGACCCUUAUGGAGUGGGCUACAGACGUGCCACAAAUAUUUCUACAAAGGGAAGCAAAGANGAAAGUCNGAGCNNNNNUCAAAAG
rnacentral:rRNA from 1 species